CCCCGCCCAGCCCCGAGCCCCCUGAUUGGGCCCGCCCCACUCCGCCCGCUUCAGCCCCGCUCCCGGCGGGGAAGCUAGCUGAGCCAUCGCUGGCUGCCUGGCCCUGGCCAGAGAUUUAAAGCCCGCAAGUUUUGUUCUUGAGACCAAUGACUUUGCUCCGUGAGGUGGAAAGCAGACCUCCGAUUUGGACGUUUAGGGAGCUGGGCUUGCACUUGGCCCGCAGAAGGUCCAGGCAUAGUGGUGUGACUAGAAACCUCUUAACAAGUCUCGCCUGCCUUUAGAAUUCUUGCUGGAAAACUA
rnacentral:lncRNA from 1 species